ACACGGCCCGUACCCCAAACCAACACAGGUGGUCAGGUAGAGAAUACCAAGGCGUACGAGAUAACUAUGGUUAAGGAACUCGGCAAAAUACCCCCGUAACUUCGGGAGAAGGGGGACCUCGACUGGUGACCGGACUUGCUCCGUGAGCUGGCUGGGGUCGCAGAGACCAGUGAGAAGCGACUGUUACUAAAAACACAGGUCCGUGCGAAGUCGCAAGACGAUGUAUACGGACUGACGCCUGCCCGGUGCUGGAAGGUUAAGAGGACCCGUUAACCCUUGGGUGAAGCGGAGAAUUUAAGCCCCAGUAAACGGCGGUGGUAACUAUAACCAUCCUAAGGUAGCGAAAUUCCUUGUCGGGUAAGUUCCGACCUGCACGAAUGGCGUAACGACUUCUCAACUGUCUCAACCAUAGACUCGGCGAAAUUGCACUACGAGUAAAGAUGCUCGUUACGCGCGGCAGGACGAAAAGACCCCGGGACCUUCACUAUAGCUUGGUAUUGGCGUUUGGUUCGGUUUGUGUAGGAUAGGUGGGAGACUGUGAAGCAGGCACGCCAGUGUUUGUGGAGUCAUCGUUGAAAUACCACUCUGAUCGUAUUGAACCUCUAACCUCGGACCGUAUAUCCGGUCCAGGGACAGUGCCUGGUGGGUAGUUUAACUGGGGCGGUUGCCUCCCAAAAUGUAACGGAGGCGCCCAAAGGUUCCCUCAACCUGGACGGCAAUCAGGUGUUGAGUGCAAGUGCACAAGGGAGCUUGACUGCAAGACUGACACGUCAAGCAGGGACGAAAGUCGGGACUAGUGAUCCGGCACCUCUGAGUGGAAGGGGUGUCGCUCAACGGAUAAAAGGUACCCCGGGGAUAACAGGCUGAUCUUCCCCAAGAGUCCAUAUCGACGGGAUGGUUUGGCACCUCGAUGUCGGCUCGUCGCAUCCUGGGGCUGGAGCAGGUCCCAAGGGUUGGGCUGUUCGCCCAUUAAAGCGGCACGCGAGCUGGGUUUAGAACGUCGUGAGACAGUUCGGUCUCUAUCCGCCGCGCGCGUCAGAAGCUUGAGGAAAGCUGUCCCUAGUACGAGAGGACCGGGACGGACGAACCUCUGGUAUACCAGUUGUUUCGCCAGAAGCACUGCUGGAUAGCUACGUUCGGACAGGAUAACCGCUGAAAGCAUCUAAGCGGGAAACCUUCUCCAAGACCAGGCUUCUCACCCUUUUAGAGGGAUAAGGCCCCCCACAGACGAUGGGUUCAAUAGGCCAGGCCUGUAAGCGCAGUAAUGCGUUCAGGGAACUGGCACUAAUCGGCCGAAAACUUACU
rnacentral:rRNA from 1 species